UUUUGCAGAACACAGGAUAAAACCGCCACAUCCUGUGGCAACUCCUGUGCUAGCACAUCCUGUGCG
rnacentral:sRNA from 1 species